GAUUGGAAUCCAGUCUCACUAUGUUUUCAGUUUCAUUAGUCGCGCAACACCUGAUUGAAGCUAUGGAAAAUGUCACUGCAGUCCUCUUUCUGAGGCUUUUCCAUGUAAAUUCGAGUUGGAUAAGAUCUUCUGCUUCCGAGAUUUCCUUGAGGAGCUCAUACUGUACCCUUAAUAAAAGCCCCAAAUUUCGGUUGCUGUUUUCUAGUUUCUUAAUCGCCUCCAGUUCUGUGCUCGCUUUGGGCUUUGUCCAUUUCUAUUUGGGGGGCAUUAUCUGGCUCUGCUAUCUGUACUGUACAAAUUAUAUAACCUACAGAUAGCUAAGAUAUUGACCAAUUUGCACAGUUAUGUGGAGAUCAUUUGUCAUACACCGUGAAGUACGGUUGUUGGUGUGCCAGGGUUUGCUCUUGCAAGUCUUGAGCUAAAGAAUUUGCUGAUCUGUCCCAAACUGAUUGGCUACAGGACAGGCUAUGGCGAAGUCAAUGUACAAGGACUACAUCAUGCAUGCAUGACAUUGACAAUAUGGUCCAUAUUCUGGUUUGAUUUUUACCUUUUUGCCCUGUGGUUUUAUCUUUCCUAGGACAAUGUUUCGUGUGGCUGAACUAUCUCUUGUGAAUUUUUGCCAUCUCGACUAUGAGCUUCUGCAGAUGUCAGAACCUUUUCAACCUUUCUUGCUUGUUCUGUAGCCUUUUUUAACAUAAUUUUUUCUUCAAUCAUCUUAAGCAUACAAGAUAUCCAAUCUUCAAGUAUUAUAUUUCAUAUCCAGUUCGGCACUCAGUACCUAGUCAAGAGAUUCAUAGCUUUACAAAUUGAGCAGUACAUUUUAGUUCAUAUGCCACUAAACUUCAGUAUGGUACUUGAACUAAAAUGUACUAAAAUGUACAUAGCUUCAGUUUUUCCCUGUGGUUUAUAGAUUCAUAUGAAGUUUUGCCCUGUGGUUUAUAGAUUCAUAGCUUUACAAAUUGAGCAGUAAAUUGAGCAGUACAUUUUAGUUCAUAGAUUCAUAACUUCAGUACAUAGCUUCAGUUUUGCCCUGUGGUUUAUAUCUUUCUUAGGACAACGUUUCAUGUUUCAUGCGGCUGAACUACCUCUCGUGUGAUUUUUUUUUUUGCCAUCUCAAUUAUGAGCUUCUGUAUAUGUCCAACCUUUCUCGAAAUUUCUUGCUUGUUGUGUAGUUUUUUGUUAUCAUUUUUUUUCUUCAAUCAUCUUAAGCAUACAGGAUGCCCCAUCUUAGUAUUUAUUCCUCAUGCCAGUUCGGCAGUCAGUAUUGAGUCAAGAGUUUCAUAGCUUUACAGUUUGAACACUGCAUUUUAGUUCACAGGCCACUAACUUUGUACAAUCUACAACCAUAUAAUGCUUGUCAAGUGACAGAUCACAUAAUGUAUGUUGCCUGCUGUGUUAGACAGAUCACAUAAUGUAUGUUGCCUGCUGUGUUAGGACAUAAAUGGAAGUACGAAAACUGAAUCAAAACCACAAGGACUGAUAAAAGGAGAUUUAACAACUUGAUUGCAAAAAUGGAGCAAGUCACUAGACCUGCCUUUAUUUCCCCUUUGGAUAUUGUAGAACAUCAUGAAAUGAAAAUUAACAGAACAGGAGAGCUAAGAGCAUCAUUUUAUGGACAUGUUCUAGAAACACAUCCCUUGCUUCCCAGGUGCUUUCAUGCCUUGCACACAUCCCACCAUCUUGUUGCUACCUUCCCAUCCUGCAAAUUUAAUGAUUUAGUCAUCAUUACUUUGCCUUUGUGAAACACAUGAAUUUUCUUGACUAUGCAUUCUUUCAGUAAGACGCAGCGACCUUUGGCCAUGUUGAAGCCACGGUUUUCCAGCUCCUUGUACUCUUGGCAUAGCGCGCAACUCUCACAGAAGAAGUGGACACAGCAGUCCAUGCAGGGCGAUGCUGUCAAGUUGUAUUGCGACCGCAUCGCCGAGCGUUUGGUACAAGAAUACAACCAGUUGCAGCCUACGCAAGCCAGGCAAACAUACAGGGUCCCAUUCAUGCAGCAUGCUGAAAACAAGGAGACUCAGCCACAAAGAUGGAUGAUUUUUAUGCUUCAACCUAAGCACGAAUUCUAAGCGAAACACCUACAUGGGGAGCCUUUGUCCACAAUCCCUGCAAGACGACCAAAGGUAACACAGGGGCACCAGAAAGUCAAGCAACCUGCAAUGUUUGGAAAUGGAAUGGAACACAGAUGAGUACUUUGCAAGUUUGCAUGCUGCUUAUGAAACCCAUGUACAAGGGGUGCAAGAAGAACAGAACAAAAGCUAGGUCUGCAUACAGGUGCGGAAAUCCCCAAAGCAGUCGAAAAGCCCAACUGACCACUCAGCAACCAUGGUGCUAGUAAGUUUGGUAGAUUGUGGAUCUGUGAUCGUUGAGUAUGGGAAUAGCAGCGGUGUGCAGCUGUGCCCUUGUGAGCUUUGAUGCUACCGAUGCUUAUAUACUAGCAGUAACAGUGCAGUAUCAGGUAUGACAAAGUCAAUUGCUUCAGCAACCAAUUCCAGUGCAGCGUUUUUGUUUUUGUUUUAUGGGUUUUCUCUUGCAAUCUGCACCGAAUAUUGUGCGCUAGUGCCGUGUUUACUGGUUUUGCUUUGAAUUGGUCUUCUCAAGGAAACCUUGUUCAAUUGGCAUGUUCUGCUUUGGACCAAUCUUUCUGGAAAUCCCAUGCCCAAUCAGCAUAUGGCAGCAUUCUGGAGCUUCUAGUCUGGUGGUAACUUUCAUGCCUUAUCGUCGUUUUCCUAUGUAUGAAAUCGGCUUGAUAGCAAGUAAUAUACUAAUGAUAAUCACCAUGUAACUCUCCGUUUAGAGUAGGGGAACCAUGCCUGGUGACAAGCUAACCAAACACUUGCCAGUUAACAUAACGUAUACAUAUGGUUUCUGCACAAAGGUGUGUCCUGCUUGAACUUUCUGGUUACGGCCAUGGUUUCGUUUUUCGUAUCGCCAACUAGAGCUAGAGUAUUCCCUAUUGGGGAUGAUGUUCAUGUGUUUCUUUUUAUCUUCUACUGAUAGGCUACCAUCUGCUUGUUGAAGCUGAAAGUUCUGUAACAGUUGAAACAAAUUUGGUAGAAACUGAAUAUUCAGAGUAGCAACCAGUCAGGUAACGUCUCCUGGCAACCUAAAGAAUAUCGACAUACGGAAUGUUUAACACUGUUCUGGGGGCUGCAGUCAGCGAGUUUUUCUUUGGAACUGUAGUGAGUGUCUUUUGGUUGCUUAUUACAUGACGGUUGUCUCGGAUAAGGUUUCUGGUUUAGAGGGGAAACAGUUUGUUUCGGAUAGGUUGUGUUCAGCUGCAGCAAAACAUCAGGCCACGCUCGCUCUAUUGCAAAUACCUCUCGGGCCUGGCCCAAGUAUUCGGUCAGUUCCGAGAUAGAAAGUAAUACCCCCCCCCCCCCCCCCCCCCCCCCCUAUCUCUUCAAUUGUACAGAAACCCCCAAAGUCUCUGAGAACCGGGCAAUUCUCCACUGGGUGGUUUUCUGAGAGGAUUUCAGGUGGUUUGAUGAUGAGUAUUUCACCUGAUCGCGCUGUGGCUGCCUUUCUUUCCUGAUUGCCUCUUCAUCUCUGCCUGCAUCCUCCUGGCCGCCUCUGCCGUCGUCGUUGUCGCCGUGGCCCUCAUCUCCGCCGACACCUUUUUUCCUGCAGGUACGUAGCCGACCCUUUUUUCCUGCUCUCCUUCUCAGGAAUGCACAUGAAUGGAAUGCACACUUAGUGAGACUAGGAAGCUUUUGAUGCAUUUCAAGUACAAAAAACAUUUCAAGCAGACAUAGCCAAGGUUGCUCCUAAUGGCUGCCAAUGACAGAAAAAGGAUGGGAAUUGCUAUGCAGUCCACACCUGUUGCUGUCAAUCAAGCAAGGAGGAAAGCUGGAAGCCUGAAGACCUCUGAACCAAGCUCACAGCCAAAGCUCUUAUGUAUUCCCUCUGUAAACAAAUACAAUACGUUUUAUGCCACUAAAACAGAGGUAGUAGUACCUUAGCACUGUCUGUUCAACCUUGCUGCUUGCAAGGAAAC